rnacentral:lncRNA from 10 species
GUGAUGGAUGACAGGCUAUGUGUUUGUGUGUGGGUUUGUCUGAUUGGAGUAGGACUCAAGGACUGGAUUGAAGAGGGAGGUAAUUAGGUAAUUUCUUUUUCUCCAAACCACUGAGUUUUUGUUUUACUUUAUAAAAUAACACCUAUUAGUUAUCAUUAUUAUUAGUAGUAGUGUUUCAAACAUAAACUAUGUUAAUGUGAUAUACAAAUCACACAAACACAUAAGUGAACAUAGAAAAUAAAGACUGCUGGUAAUGGUAACUUGCAGAAAUAACCACUGUUAACCUUUCAUUCUGAAUGUUUCCUAUUGUAUAUAUUCAUCCACAUCUAUUUGUACACUUUUCUUCUACUUUGGGGUUAUGAUACACAACCUACCCUGUAGCCUGUUUUCUUUUCUUUACUUAAAAAUCUAAGAUUUUUCAGAUUACAUAUUCCUCCUAAACAUAAUUUUAAUGGUUGUGUAACUUUUUGUUACACAGGUAUAUUAACACCAAUUUAAAUAAUUUUUUAUUUUUCAGUAUUUAGGUUGUUUCCUAUUUUAGCUUCUUAUAAUAUUAAUCUGAUCAACAAAUCUGCAUCCAUGUAUUAUGUGCAUGUAAACUGGAUUAUCAUUUUAAGUGUGAGACAAGAAAUUCCCAGCAGUUAUUCAAUAUUAAUAUGUUUCUCUCUCUCUUCUCCCUGUAUAUAUUACACAGACACACACAAGCAUAUAAAAUAACACUACAAAACAAGUAGCAAUAUACCAGCAAGGCUGAAGAGGUAACGGAAAUACAUAGAUGGAAAAUCCAAGAUACAAAUUCAGUUCUCUCUAACAACAAAUUCUAAAUUGUCUCCUCUAUGACACUACUGCUAAUAGUAAUAAUAACUCGCCUUAGUUGAGCACUAACUAUGUGCUAGGCAAGGUACUAAAUACUUUAUGUAAACUGUCUCAUAUAACCCUUACAACAUCUCUAUAAGGUUGUAGACGCAAAAAGGGGGUGAUCCCUUUUCUCCUCAUAAAGGGUCAUGGCCAAAACUCCCCGUAACAAAAGAGAGCUUGAUAAGAGACAAGCAUAACAAAUUUAUUAUGUGCAUAGGAGUCACACAAAAAAAUAUUAAAAACUCAAAAAAGGGCCAGAUGAUUGAUGCUUAAAUAUCCUCUUCAUUGGAGAGAGGAAAGUGAAUGAAUAGACCCAAGGACAAGAUAAUGAUUUAUCAAAGAUUCUCUUUGGAUGCUGAAUGCAACCAAAAAACACACAAUAGCUGGUGGACAAGUUAGAGAAGGGUGUGGGGCAGAACUGCAUUGUGAACAAUGGUUGUCUUAUUACGCAAGUACAGUUCCCCAAGUAAUUUCUCACAACUGCCCUUAAAAGAAUCGAUGAAAAGUCUGUCUGCAUGUGGUUACAAUUUCCAGUCUCUCCUCUUCUCCAGUGUUAAUCCUUCCUGGUUAUUUAAUGAGAUUCCUAAGAAGAGGGUUUUAAGAUAAUUUCCUUUAAUUUACAAGAAGUUUUCUCAGACAAAUACGGAAAUUUCAGAGAAAGUCCCUUUUGGAAAAUAAAAAGGAUCAGAGAAACAGGAAGGCAGAGGAAGGUCAGAGGGAGACCUUAAAGGUCUCCCUUUACUUUGGCAUGCCAGAGCAGCAUAUUUUGAGGUAUUGGUUUCUGAGCCCCAACAAGGUAAACAACUAUUAUUAUAACCAUUUUAGAGUUGAAGAAAAAGGAGCAAAAAUAAUUUAAUAAUUUCUGCAAGGUCACACCACUGGUUACUACAUUUGUCAAGAAGUCUCAAUGUGUAGAGGGUAGACAUACAUUACAAGAUGACUUCAUAUUUGGAUACACUAUAUGGGUUUGAGAUAGGAUUUUUUGGUACCUAUAAUAGUCAUAUUGGCAAAUGUUACAAUGGUGGCAGUAGAGUAUCUUGGUUAACAGUACAGACUCUAGAGACAGACUGCUCAAAUUCAGAUUUCAGCUCUGGCACCCUAGCUGUGUGACCUUAGUCAAGUUAAUUAAUACCUCUGUGCCUAAGUUUUCUCAUCUCUAAAAUUGGGAUAAUUAUAAUAGAUAGUUAUGAAAAUUAAAUAAGAUAAUUAAAUAGACAGCUCCCUUCCAGUAAGGCUUCAAUAAAUGUUAACUAAUAUCCAAAGAAGUAAUAAACAAAAUGACAAAAAAGCAUCAAAUAAAAAUUAACACAUAAAUAGAGGCGUUUGCUCCUAGACUGAGCUAUGAAAAAUGAGACUUCCUUUGGAAAAUUCCAAUUAGGCUUUCGUCUGUUAACAUUUAGAGUAUAGUGAAAAUUAAAAAAUAGCACAAAAACAUAGUAACUUAAUUUCGACUCUAUUGUAUGUCAUAAAAUAAUUAGCUAUUCACUCUUCUCAAAUGAAGAGAGCUGGUAGCUCACUGCUGGGUGAGACCUCAGUGAAAACUCAUUCACAGAAAGAACCAGGAUCAGUUUUCUAGCAUUUAGGAAAAAACAUCCAAAGAGAUAUAAACAAAAGUCUGCAGACACAGCCCAGAGAAAGUCUGAUAGGUGAAUAGAAGCCAAGUGAGCUAGGGAGAAUGCCUUUCUCACCCCUCCAAUCGACACUUACAAGUUCCCAAGCUUGAUGACCUUGGCUCAUCCUAAAAAAGACAUCUGUACCACAUCUGUGCUGAACGGCAGAGGCAUUUUCAGAAAAGCACAUCUCAAAGGACAAGAUCAAAUGACAUUGUAACUGAAGUCUGCAUUUUUGGUAAGACUUUCCCUCUGCUUCUUUGUCACCAUGCAUGAGACAAGCUGUGCUGUGCUGUUUCAGACAAAGGGGCUUGCAAGAGACAGGCAUUAAGACUUUGCUUUAUUUCUUAUGUAUUUGUUUAUUCACAGUGUGCAAAACCAUGUCCUCCCUGUUUACUCUUGUAAUAGAAGGAAAUUGUAAUUCAUUUCCUUAAUGAAAAAUAUGCUAUGGUUUACCUCACAUGUAGGAAAAAGCCAUUAUUACUACCACAGCUAUUGUUUUCCAUUAAUAAAAUUCAUUCAUUUCAUCUAAAUCAGAAUAACAUUUCUUUUUCUCUUAACUCUUACUUUUCUUUUAGAUAAUAAUCAAAGUUCAGUGGUAACAAAAGUUAUGAGGGCCCCUUGGUCAAAUGCCAUAAUCUCCUAAACCUUCCCUCAUAUAGAGAUCAGAACUGCAAUUCAGGCACAUUGAUUGGUUUGAUUUCUUUGCAUUGAAAUAGUCUGCUUUUCCCCAUCACACUAAGAUGUAGAAAAGUGAGGAAUAGUUGCUAUGUUCUCUCAUUUUGAUCUUUAUUAGAAUUUCAUGUUGGGAAUCUGCUUAUUGGCAUAUUCAGCCUUGUUACCAAGAUGUGUGCUGUUGAGGCCGUAAAAUAGACAGCUCAACUUGAAGAUUAAGGCAAUUGCAUGCCAUUAUGUUCAAUGCUAGUUUGCAGUUUAGGGGUAGUAAGUAUGUCUGCCAGGCAGGCAAGUUCUGUUACAUGGCACUGGUCCAGUGCCUAGCACUUAGGGGACUAGGUGAAUGAAUGAAUAAGCACGUGCAUUUUGCCAUUCCCCCAUACCACUGGUAUCAUUGUUUUGUCUAUUUUUUGCCCCAAUUAUCAAUUUUAAUUUAUAAAUAUUGUAUAAAAGAAAGUUGUAUAAAGCAAGUUUCUUUUGCUGGUUAUUAUUAAUAAAAUACAUAUGUAAGUAUAGCGCCGUUUAUUUAAAUUCAUUGUUGUAUUCCUUCCACACAAAUGUAGGACAUAGAACACACCUUGGGAAACACUGAAGUUGGAAAGUUCUCAAGUAAUAAUAAUAGUGAUAAUAAAGAAUAGUUAUACCAAGCAACUAUCCUUUAAGUACCCAGUAUCUACAGAGUUAGCUCAUUCAAUUUAAUUGUCAUACCUAAGAGGAAAUCAUUAUUUUUCCCACUUUACAGGCAAGAAAACUGAUAUUCAACAAAUUUAAGAAUUCAUAUGAUAAAACUUAUAGCAAUCAUAAAACAGUUAUUGAUAAAAACUGAUUUUAUGCUGAGAUUUAUCAACAAUAUAGUAUUUGAUUUUCACAAUGACCCUAUGAGGUGAGAAUUGUUAUCUUCAUUAACAGAUGAGGAAACUUUAAAUAGCCCAGUCACUUAACUACUAAGUGGAAUAGUCAGUAUUUGAGCCCACCUGUCUCUAUGACCUAAUCCUGCAACACAUGCCUUAAUCUAGGAGAACUUGCAAAUUCCACCAUAGUAGCCAAGAGCAUACAGUAGUCCCCCCUUAUCCAGAGGUGAUAUGUUCCAAGACCCCCAGUGGAUGCCUUAAAUCUCCAAUAGUAGAGAACCCUAUGUAUACUUGCUGAAUUCUUUUUCCUUCUUCACAAUUUCACAGGUAGAAGAUUCAUUCUUACCAUAGAUUUUAGCAACUUCAGCAUACCAUUUUUUCUCACCUUAUUAAAUGUAGAACUUUCACUUUUUCACUGAAAGGAAGCAUUUUACAGCUUCUCUUUGGUAUAUCCAAAUUGUCAGCAUCACUACUCUCGUGCUUUGAGGCCAUGAUGAAGUAAAAGAAGGGUUACUUGAACAUAAGCACUGCAAUACCACAGCAGUCCACCUGGUAAUUGAGCCGGCUAUGAAGUUACUAACAGAUGGGUGGGUAGAAAGUGUGGAUAUGCUGGACAAAAGAAGGAUUUGUAUCCAAGGCGAGGUGGAGCAGGAGCGCAGGAGAUUUCCCCAGGCCACUCAGAACGGCCCACUUCAAAUGCGGAGAGAUACACCUGCAGUUUCUGAAUGGAUUUCUUCAACAAUGCCGCCUAAUUGACUCACAUUAAAAAUACUUUGAUCGACCCAUCUCUUUGUCACAUGAAGCUGGAAACACUAACAGAGGCUGUUGGAAAGAAAGGUCUGGUUCCGUGGCCAAAUACCUUGACUUUUCCAAAAACAGACUUUUUCUGUCUCUUCAGAAGAAGAAUUACAUGCAAUGGGAAGAUUGAUGUUCCUCUGUCAGAAAGCUACCUUGGAACAGGUGCUCCCAAUUAAUUUCCAUGAGCCACAUUUAUCCUGUGGUCAGAUAAUUAAAAAAAAAAUAACCUGGAUAAACCUUCUUUUGCCAGUCUAAUAACCACAUUUGAUGUAAUAAAACAGCAAGCACUUAGGAAUAUUCCAAUAAAAAAGAUUUAUUUUUAUUCUAGUAUAUAUUAUAAUGAAUAAUAUUAUUGAUAUUAUAGAAUUUAAAAUUACAUUAAAUCAGAGCUAUUUAUGUUUAUUAUGCAAAAUGUACACAAUAUAGAAAAAUAUAAAGAAAAAUUUCAAUACACAAAGUAUGGAUAUGCUUUAUUUUCACUCCAUUUUCACAUAUAUAUUGACACAGAUGCAGUCAAACAUUAUUUAGAGUUUUAUGAAUUAAUAACACAGUCAUUAAAAAGUAAUUAACCAAGUAAUAUUCAUAGUCAUUGCAAACUAAUUGGAAAAUAUAAAUAAAUAAAAUAUAAGCAUCACUUUCUUUUUAGUAGCACAAUACUUUUUCUGAUACAUGUUAUUUCUAUUUUUUUGCUUUAAAAUUCAAAAGAUUAUAUUUAUGCAGUAAUGGAUUUUUGUGGUUGUUAUAGAGCCCAUGUGCCCUGGGGAAGGAUUUUAAAUAUCAUGAAACUGAGUUCUUUCCAGUUUUCUUUCUCAUUAAGGGGACUGAAGAGAUCAGCCCCUUAGCAAAGAUUUGACUGAGAUAUAAUAGAGACAAUUAUGUACUCUAUUACCAAUUCGGAUGGACUUUAUGGUAUUUAAAUGAACAAAGCUCUCUUUGUCAUUUCAUUAACAUGAUUCCUUUUCAGAGAAUGAGCAGUUCUCAUCUCCUUCCUCCAUUUUGGGAAAACAGCCCAAUUUUUCUCAAGCUCAUUUGAAAGGCAAAAUGGUUGUUGAUCUCUCCAUAAUUGAUUGAGGAUGUGUCUGGCCGCUGAGAGUACCUGAAUCCAUGGCUUAUAUCAGACCACACUAGAGUGAGAAGUGCCAUGUUCUAUUUGGGUGGAAUAGUUAGAGGUUCAAAAACCACAGAACAUAACAAGCAUUAUUAAUUUAUAAUUCCGUGGCAUUUGUUAGCUUGUUUUUCUCAUUUUUUCUUUUUCCCUCUUAAAAAAUGAAACGUGUAACGUCUGAGACCAGAACAUAUUGUUCUAAAAGGGUUCAAAUUUAAAAUGCUGAAUUUCUUCAUUUGAACUUUACCCAAUUAUGAGAAUUUUAAUACUUGCAAAUUAUUUUUUAUUGUUUUAUUUUACUUUUAAAAGUAAUUUUAUACAUUAGCUAGUCUUACUAAUUAAAAUGCAUACAUCCAAAUUGCCCAUAUUUAAGAAGCAUGUCAAAAAUAAAUGAAAAUAAUGGAUCCAGAUGAACAAUGAGCUUUUAUUUUACUUUGGCAUAUUUUAAGAACUAUAAGCUCAGAAGUAUGUAUGCAUAUUAUUUUAUAUAUUGUACAUUAUUAUAUGUACAUUAUCAUAUACACGUAAGCAUAUUCAUGUAUUACCUAUCAUAGACGUUUGAAAUGCUUGUUUCUCGGUGCCGUAAAGAAUAGCACUUGAACAUAAAUUUAAUUUACUCAGCAAGGCCGUUUUUAUACUUUCUGCAGAAAGGGUACACUCACCAGCAGUUUUGCCAGGAGAGUACACCAAACAAAGGAGACAGGGUCAUUUCCAACCUGCAGUGCCCACCAUACUGUUGUGUCCAGUUUCCGUUGGCUGGAACGGGGCCUCACAUUUUGUUUUGUCUCGAUUGACUGGCGACUUAGAACUUUUUAAAGAGGCAAAAGUAGAAGAGAACAAAGGAGAGAGGAAGUAACUUGUGGAAUGCUGAGAAAGGUAAAAACACCUUUAAAUAAGGAAAAGGAACAGGCUAUGACCUAAUGCUUGCUUCAACCAGUAUAAGCCUGCCAGGGCAAAUAUUUAGGCCAAAUUGUGGGAGCUAAGAACAUAAAGUACGUUGAUUUCUUUACCACAGCUAGCAGAUAUUUAAGAAUGUUAGCACAGGUCUUUGAAUAAAUUUUGCUUCUAAGAGAAGUUACUAUUUAUUCCUAAUAAAUGGGGAGGAAAAUCUUUGAAGAGGAACCUUUACUUUAUUUUUUACAAUAGAGUUCAAUAUAAAAGCUGGGGAGGGGCUGGGCGUGGUGGCUCACGCCUGUAAUCCCAGCAUUUUGGGAGGCCGAGGCGGGCGGAUCACAAGGUCAGGAGAUCGAGACCAUCCUGGCUAACACGGUGAAACCCCGUCUCUACUAAAAAUACAAGAAAUCAGCCGGGCGUGGUGGCGGGCACCUGUAGUCCCAGCUACUCGGGAGGCUGAGGCAGGAGAAUGGCAUGAACCCGGGAGGCAGAGCUUGCGGUGAGCUGAGACCGCACCACUGCACUCCAGCCUGGGAGACAGAGCGAGACUCGUCUCAAAAAAAAAACAAACAAACAAAACCUGGGGAGGAUUUUCUGCCUUAUAGAUACUAAGAAGAGACCUCCAUAUUGUCUCUUUGGGUCUUGGUAAUGCUUAUAUAAGCUACCACCUUGUAUAAGACAUCGAACCACAUACCUUGAGCCUGCUCUCUCAGUAUUACUCUUCUAAGAGUGAAAAGAAGUAGUCCAGUAUUGAACAUUAGUUAAAAUAAGGACACAAAUGUCUGUGUAAUUAAGUUCUUAAACAACAGAGUAGAAAUGGAAACAAACUUUAAAUACCCUACUUAAGAUCUGUAAAAUUCUUUGGAACUACCCAAGUUUCUGUGUUACUUCAUGGAUCUUUUGCCUAAGAUGAGACCUCUUCCUCGAGUGCUCUUUUAUCCAUUUCGACUCAUCCCUGAGACCCGUAAUUUAGCUAAAUCCCAUUCAUUGUUUGAGUAAAGUGAGUACAGAUUUUGGGGACCUAAAGCAUGUGUAGGUUUGAGGGACUUAUUUUAAGAAAAAGAAUAUAAAGUUACAAAUAGAAAGGGUAUGUUGGAAAUGAAAGUUGAUUAUGAAUAAGAAAAUAAAUCACAACAAAUAACUGCACACUUAAGAUUCAGCCCAAUUUCUUCCAAGAUCUCUUUAGGUAAUUUAAUGAAAAUACUUAAGAAGAAAUGAUACCUGUUUGCAUCCUGGAUUUUCCUCCCCAAAUUUAACACCCGUUCCUCUCUGGGACCUGCCCAAGGGAGAAACCAAAAAACUGAAGUUUCUUUAAAAAUUUUGUUUUAAUUGACACAUUGUACAUAUGGGAUACAAUGAAAUCUUAUCCCCUGUGACAACAUGAAUAAACUUGGAUCACAUCAUGUUAAGUAAAAUAAGCCAGACACAGGACAAAUAAUAAUCACACUCAUGUGAAAUCUAAAAAAAAAAAAAAAAAGUUGUUAUCAUAGAAGCAGAGUGGAACAGUGGUUAACCAGAGACUGUCGGGGGAGAAUGAAGAGAGGUUGGUCAAGCGCUUCUUGAGCAUUAUGGCAAGUCUCAGGCUGUCCCUUCUUGUAAGAAAUCUUCUUUGUUUGCUUUCAGUAUUCCUCCCCUGAGCUUCUGUGGCAUAUUAUGUCCUCCUCUAUCUUAGCAUUUACCACCUUGUAUUUUAAGUGCCCUAAUUAGAAUAGGAGUCUUUCGGAUAGGAAAUUUGAAUCCCUCCCCAUUUUAUCCCCAAUUUUCAGCACAGUUCUUAUCAUAUAAUAUGCACCAAAUAAAUAUUUUCCAAUAAUAGCAAAUAAUUGCAUAGUGCUUACCAUAUACCGGGCUCUCUUCUAAGUAUUUUACAUCUCUUCACUAGAACAAAGCUAACUUUAUUAUCAAUAUUAUAUAGAUGAGGAAACUAAGAAGUAGAGAGCUUAAAUAACUUGCCUAAGUCCAGAGAGUUAGUUCACACUGGAGCUGAAAUUCAAACCCAGGCGGUGUGCUAAUACAGUUCAUGCUCUUGACCCCAUGCAAUACUACCUCUCAAAAGGAAUGCUUUUCUUCAUUCUUGCUUUAAGUGGCAUUUCAACUCCAUGCCUCAAGGCAUGGUUUGCUACAAUGGCCGACUCCUUAAGAAUUGAUAAUCCAAUUUGUGAAUUUUUGAAGACUUGCAGCCUCUUCACCCCCCCUACAGCUUCUUGCCUGUAGGAAACACAUGCUUGUUAGUACCUCCCCAGAGAUGUUGUCAGGAGAUGAGACCAUAUUACUUCCAUUGUCCUCUACAACCCCCAGUUAUUCUUAAUCCUACUGGGGUCUCUAGAAGCUAAUCUUGCAGUAGUUUGUCUGUAAGUGUGGAUUCCAAAUAGGAAGUAACCCUUUAUUACCUAUACUUAACCUUUUCACCCCUUAAGGGUUGAUCAUCCGAACCAAUCCUCUCCUUGGAAAGAUAUGUUAAGUACACAAAUGGAAGCUCAAAAUAUGUCCUUUCAGCAGUUGAAAGAUUUUUAGUGGCAGAGUGACAGAAUAAAAACUAUAUUUAAAGAGGAUUAGGAGAUGCAUUGAAGAAGAGGAAGAGAUGGGAGAUGAGGAGAUGAGUGAAGAGCAAAUUGGUUUCGUGCUGCAACAGCUUCCAAUGUGGACACUGACCCUGCAAACCUGCCAACCAUUUCUAACACUUUACUUUAAAAUAAUUAUUUCCUGAAACUGAUUUUGGUAUAAUUUCCCAAGUCUAGUGAUUCUCAUAACAGUUUACUUUGAGAACCUUGUGUAUCAGUCCAUUCUCACACUACUAUAAAGAACUGCCCAAGACUGGGUAAUUUAUAAAGGAAAGAGGUUUAACUGACUCACAGUUCCGCAGGGCUGGGGAAGCCUCAGGAAACUUACAAUCGUAGUAGAAGGGGAAACAAAUGCAUCCUUCUUCAAAUGGCGUCAGGAAGGAGAAGUAGUGCUGAGCAAAGGGGGAAAAGCCCCUUAUAAAAACAAUCAAAUCUUGUCAGAACUCACUCACCAUCAUGAGAAAAGCAGCAUGGGG